rnacentral:rRNA from 1 species
UACGUAGGGUGCAAGCGUUGUCCGGAAUUAUUGGGCGUAAAGAGCUCGUAGGCGGUUUGUCGCGUCGAAUGUGAAAACCCGGGGCUCAACCCCGGGCCUGCAUUCGAUACGGGCAGACUAGAGUUCGGUAGGGGAGUCUGGAAUUCCUGGUGUAGCGGUGAAAUGCGCAGAUAUCAAGGAGGAACACCGGUGGCGAAGGCGGGACUCUGGGCCGAUACUGACGCUGAGGAGCGAAAGCGUGGGGAGCAAACAGG